rnacentral:rRNA from 1 species
UACGUAGGGUGCGAGCGUUAAUCGGAAUUACUGGGCGUAAAGCGUGCGCAGGCGGUUUGUUAAGACAGUUGUGAAAUCCCCGGGCUCAACCUGGGAACUGCAAUUGUGACUGGCAGGCUAGAGUUUGGCAGAGGGGGGUGGAAUUCUUGGUGUAGCAGUGAAAUGCGUAGAUAUCAGGAGGAACACCGAUGGCGAAGGCAGCCCCCUGGGCCAUGACUGACGCUCAUGCACGAAAGCGUGGGGAGCAAACAGG